UACGGGGGGGGCAAGCGUUGUUCGGAAUUACUGGGCGUAAAGGGCUCGUAGGCGGCCAACUAAGUCAGACGUGAAAUCCCUCGGCUUAACCGGGGAACUGCGUCUGAUACUGGAUGGCUUGAGUUUGGGAGAGGGAUGCGGAAUUCCAGGUGUAGCGGUGAAAUGCGUAGAUAUCUGGAGGAACACCUGAGGCGAAGGCGGGCUACUGGGCCGAUACUGACGCUGAUGCGCGAAAGCCAGGGGAGCGAACGGG
rnacentral:rRNA from 1 species